GAGGCCAACAUUCCACCAUCCUGGAGUUUGUGACCUCACAGUGGCUGAGAGAUCUCCAUGGCUUGGAGCCCCUUCUCUUGGGGAAAUGGAGCUGUGGCUGCUGGACAGAUUGCUCCAAGGAGGUGAUGCCCAGGGUCCAAGCUGGUAGUCCAGAAUCAACCCUGUGAAGUCUACAGGAGCCCCAGGCCCUGUCUGUCCCUGCAUUAAGAAUGAUCGCCAUGCUAGAAGCCUUGCUGUUUCUGUUCAUCAUCCUCGUUUCCUUCUUGCUGCUUCUCUGUUACUGCUUCUUUCAGAGGGAAUCCACUCCGGCUCCUGCAAGGUGGGGCUGAGGCCCAAUGGAAGCCAUGGCCAGUCUGACCCCUCAGGGCCUCUCAAGCACAACGGACUCUUCUUCCUCAGCUGUCCAUGGUCUGGGUCUUGGCCUGUUUUGGGGUCUCCAACAGCCCCAGGACCUCACUGGAUGCUUCCCACCAGAGUUGGCUUCCACCUAGGUCUCCAUCCCUCCUUCUCCCUAGGUCCCCUAGCUGGGUUCUCUGACCCUCACACCGUAUUUCAUACUAGUUUUGCUUCUGGUUCAUUUUUGUCCUGGGCUGUGGACCUCUGGUUCUGGAGAGGGACUCGGUGUGGGCUCAGGAAAGAGAUGAAUGGAUCAGGCCCCUGCCAUGGAAACAGACAUAAAAAGAACUGGCCUCCUCCCUCCAGAAACUAGCAACUCUGGGCCCUUAAGAACUGGAAUCCCAAGUAAAGACUGAUAGUCUUACAGGGACACUGGACUUUCCUUAUAUCCGUUGUGGACAAUCCUUGAAAACAACCAUGUGACUACUCAAUCUGGAUGAUCAUAGUUAAUUUACUUGGGUAUCCCUGAACAACAGCCCUGGACCUUUCUUGCUAACUAAAUCACUGAGAUAUUUGUGGCUCAUUACUUAAACUUUCCUGGGUUAAAUUUUUGCUCGAACACUUAGGCAUUCCAGGAUGAUAUUUGACUUAGCCCCAUGAUCUUUUGCCCUGGUAGCUGACUACAUCAAUUUUUCACUCUUAAGACCUUGGGUUUUCCUGCCCAAGGGAAUCAGACAUCCCCUCCUUCCUCCCACUCUGGCUAUUUCUCUGGGACUUCCAGGAAGAAAACAGGAAUGUUUCUAUGAUUUCACCAUUAUGUAGAAUAUUGACAGAUAGUUUACUUAUAUAUUCUAUUUCAAGAAGUCUAAGAAUUUUUGAAAGUUACUAAUGGAUAUUAGUUUUCAUCAGCCCUCUGGAGCCGACUGGGACACGUGGAAUUUUUCUUACACUUUAGAAUUAGGAGCCCUUCAAAAUCCUGCUAAGACACACCACUACCAAGAAGCCACCUUUUGGAAAUUGAUAGAAGACUGACUCUAUUUAUGGUUCCACAGCACAAGCUUCCAGGCUGCUUUAGAAACCAUGCUUCCUCACACUCACCAUGAAAAAUCAAGGG